GAGCGCUGCAGCAAACCGUACACAUGCCAACCUGAGUGGAAGAAGUCAAGGACUGGAGACAACAACUAAUGCCAGGAGAAAGAAAAAAAACAAAAACAUCUGUCUGCUCUCCAGAAUCACGCUUAUCACAAAUACCUGCAGUGGCCUCAUGUCCCAAAAGAGAUAAAAGAAGACAUGUUAAGCAUGCUAAAACUCCUCCAUAACAGACGAGCGAUGCAAUAUGUCUGUGCGCUGAUUUGCAGCGAAAACACGGCAAAAAAAAGAAAAGAAUACGAAUGAGAAAAUGAAUAAAGAAAGUCAUGUAUAACUCCA